rnacentral:piRNA from 1 species
UGUGACCUUUAGUUGAUUGGAAAUCUGCU